rnacentral:rRNA from 1 species
GAUGAACGCUGGCGGCAGGCUUAAUACAUGCAAGUCGAGGGGCAGCAUGAAUGUAGCAAUACAAUUGAUGGCGACCGGCAAACGGGUGCGGAACACGUACACAACCUCCCAAUAAGUGGGGAAUAGCCCAGAGAAAUUUGGAUUAAUACCCCGUAACAUAACGAUGUGGCAUCACAUUGUUAUUAUAGAUUUUUCGCUUAUUGAUGGGUGUGCGGCUGAUUAGAUAGUUGGCGGGGUAACGGCCCACCAAGUCUACGAUCAGUAGCUGAUGUGAGAGCAUGAUCAGCCACACGGGCACUGAGACACGGGCCCGACUCCUACGGGAGGCAGCAGUAAGGAAUAUUGGACAAUGGACGCAAGUCUGAUCCAGCCAUGCCGCGUGAAGGAUUAAGGUCCUCUGGAUUGUAAACUUCUUUUAUAAGGGACGAAAAAAGGUUUUUCUAAGUCGUCUGACGGUACCUUAUGAAUAAGCACCGGCUAACUCCGUGCCAGCCGCCGCAGUAACAC